rnacentral:lncRNA from 1 species
UAAUAAAGAGAGGUCUGGUUUCGUAACAAUUUUUAGAAAAGAUUUACCAAAUUCAUCAACGUAAUCUUUCUGCUUUACAUCUGACUACAAUGAUUAUUUUUAUUGGCAUUUAGCACCAACAAUGGCAAAAAAUUGGCUUUACGUAAAUCAUUCAUUUAGAGAAACAACUUUAAGGUUUUUUAUAGAUUAUUACUUUGCUAAAUAAUAAAAUCUUACCC